UACGAAGGGGGCGAGCGUUGUUCGGAUUUACUGGGCGUAAAGGGCGCGCAGGCGGCUCAUUUUGUCAGGCGUGAAAGCCCCGGGCUUAACCUGGGAAUUGCGUUUGAUACGGAUGGGCUAGAGUUCGGGAGAGGAGAGUGGAAUUCCCAGUGUAGAGGUGAAAUUCGUAGAUAUUGGGAAGAACACCGGUGGCGAAGGCAGCCCCCUGGGCUAACACUGACGCUGAUGCACGAAAGCGUGGGGAGCAAACAGG
rnacentral:rRNA from 1 species